CUGAGUUCUGGGUCUAACCGACCCGACCUCCAACCCUUUGUUGUCCGACUCUGUUGCCUCGGGGGCGACCCUGACCUUCGGGUCUCGGGGCCCCCGGUGGACCAUCAAACUCUGCGUUAAUAUGUCGUCUGAGUACUUUGAUUAAAUCAUAUCA
rnacentral:misc_RNA from 1 species